GUCAAAUGUAACUACUACAUAAAAUUUAUAUCUUACCCAUAAUCAAUCUUGUUCAAGGUUGACUUGAAUUGAAGCCCCAGUCUUGUGAAUAUUUGGUUGAGUUUUCUUUAUGAUUGCGAAUCUGUUACCUUGGCCGCAGGACAUAUCGUCAAAGGUAAUGGCUUUCUCACAGCAAGGACCACGGGCAGUUUGUAUUCUAUCUGCAAAUGGAGCUGUAUCUAAUGUCACCCUUCGCCAACCUGCAAUGGGUGGUGGCACCGUGACCUAUGAGGUCUGUAUGAGUUUCAGCUUAAAGACACUUACCUUUUCUGUUGCCUUAUGCUGUUGCAUGUCUUGUAUAUGUUACAGUCUUUUUGCUGGAGAUUGCUGUUGCAUGUGUGGUAGUCCUUUUUUCUGUUUGUGAAGCGUAUCUAAUGUCACCCUUCGCCAACCUUCAAUGGGCUGUGGCACUGUGACCUAUGAGGUUUGUAUGAGUUUCAGCAUAAAGACACUUACCUACACUUACCUUUUCUGCUGCGUUAUGCUGUUGCAUGUGUGGUAGUUCUUAGCUGAUGUAUAAUUGUAUUUGUUACCGCCUUUUUCCUGGAGUUAGCUGUUGCAUGUGUGGUAGUCCUUUUUUCUAAUAGAAGUGUAUGCAUAGGAGCGAUGAAUGUCCUUGAAGCGUGGUGAAACGUAUGUUGCUCCAACUCUCCAAAAAUGUUCAUCUGGUGCAUGUCGGAUCCUCCAAAA
rnacentral:lncRNA from 1 species